CAGCCAGCCCAGAGCCUCCUUUGUCACCCCACCAGCUCCAGGCAUGGCUUCCUUUCCAUGUGGUUUGCUUUUCUUCAUCUACACUGACAUUGAUCUUGCUGGAUCCUAAAUCUAGGACUGAGCUUUUUGUACCUCCCAGGAGCUUGAAAAAGAUUGGUUGCUGAAGCAAUCUGAAAUCUGCAGCAUCUCCCAGGAUGGUACUGUGAGAACUCAUUAUGGCUCAUGAAAUGCUCACAGAUUAUGGUUUUCAAUGCUACAGAAAUAACUGCAAGGGGAAAACACACACAAAGUUCCCACCUUUAUGAAUGGAUAAAUAUCUUUAGCUAGAUAUACUUGGGAUCACCAGUUGCAAAGAGGAAAGAGAAACCAGCCUCUGCUGUUGCUUCCUGUCAGAAACCUGUAACUGGGCAAGAAAUGUGUCCUGUUCAUCCUGUGAUUUUGAAAGAAAGCUAGGAGACAGUUUUAAUCAACAUUUUUGAGCGAUUUGGCUUCCUGCUCACCUAGGAGCCCAGAGGAGGUCCUUGCUGCUGUUCCCUGUUUGCUCAGGGGCUCCGGUUUCAUCGGGAAGGAGCCUCAGGUAGGAGAUGCUGAAUCCCUUCUCUAAUUACAAGUCAUGUGAGAAAUUCUCAGCUGGUAAGAUUGUGAAGAGCCUGUCAGCUUGUUAGCGGAACCAUUCAAG